AAGUCAUGAUGCGGGCAUCUUUUUAAUAAUUUCCCAAAUCGCUCCCACGCCUCGAAUAGUGAUUCUGUCUCAUUUUACUGAAAGCAACAUAUUUCUGUCAUCAGCUU